GUGAUGAAGGCCUUCGGGUCGUAAAACUCUGGCCUCAAGGAAGAUAAUGACGGUACUUGGGGAGGAAGCCCCGGCUAACUACGUGCCAGCAGCCGCGGUAAUACGUAGGGGGCUAGCGUUAUCCGGAGUUACUGGGCGUAAAGGGUGCGUAGGCGGUCUUGCAAGUCAGGAGUGAAAGGCUACGGCUCAACCGUAGUAAGCUCUUGAAACUGGGAGACUUGAGUGCAGGAGAGGAGAGUGGAAUUCCUAGGGUAGCGGUGAAAUGCGUAGAUAGUAGGAGGAACACCA
rnacentral:rRNA from 1 species